AGGACGAACGCUGGCGGCGUGCCUAAUGCAUGCAAGUCGCACGGGGUCUUCGGACCCAGUGGCGCACGGCUGAGGAGCACGUGGCUAACCUACCCCGGCGUGGGGGAUAACGGGCCGAAAGGCUCGCUAAUCCCGCAUACGAUCACCCUCGCGGGUGAGGAAAGCUUCGGCGCGCCGGGCGGGGGCCGCGUCCCAUUAGGUUGUUGGUGUGGUAAUGGCGCACCAAGCCGAUGAUGGGUUCCGGGUCUGAGAGGACGACCCGGCAGACUGGGACUGAGACACGGCCCAGACUCCUACGGGGGGGCAGCAGCAAGGAAUUUUCGGCAAUGGGCGCAAGCCUGACCGAGCAACGCCGCGUGGAGGAUGACGGCUUUCGGGUUGUAAACUCCUUUUCGGUGGACGAUAAUGACGGUACCACCGGAAUCAGGCCCGCUAACUACGUGCCAGCAGCCGC
rnacentral:rRNA from 1 species